UAAAAGGUUUUCUUAUAAAACCACUCUACAUUCCAAGAAGAAUUUUG
rfam:Amazona aestiva scaffold_977, whole genome shotgun sequence.